AAAAGCUCAAAACUAAUCCCUAAGCUCCUGAAUUUGGCAUCUGGGUUCAGUUUGAUGAUAGAAGCAGGAUCCCCCAUCAGAGAGGGUCUGGUAUGUGGGUCUUUCUUGCCUCUUGCUAUUCUGCAGGCACUGUUAAGCAUGGUUGAGUUCUGAAAGAUCUCUUUUCAGAUCCAGAGAUGUUCACAGACUCAUUUGGGUGUGCUGUGAGUCCCUACAUAUCACAUUUUCGUGGCUCCAUUCUGACACGUAAUUGUAGAUGGUGCCUCAAAGAUGAAUCUUGCUCCCAAGAUGCAACUUUUGCCAGACCCCUGUGCAGACAUAGGCUCUGUGUUGAAAUCUAGUAAAGAACAGUCAAAGAGAACUAAUUUGGACUUGAAUGUGACACAAUUAAUAGAACAGAACUACAAGAAAUUUUACCGAUUAUUCUUAAGAAAACUCAAUGAAUACUACCAAAACCGGGAUGAUAGGUGAUGAUGGGAUGUACUUGGAUUGAAAAGUAAAUUGGAGCCGAGCACAGUGGUGCACACCUGUAAUCCCAGCAGCUCAGGAGGCUGAGGCAGGAGGACUUGUAAGUUCAAAUCCAGCCUCAGCAAUUUAGUCAGACCCUAAGCAGCUUAGUGAGAUCUUGUCUCAAAAUAAAAGAUUAAAAUAAGGGCUGGUGGGUGGGGGGCAUGGCUCAGUGGUUAAGCACUCCUGGGUUCAAUAAAUAAAUAAAUAAAUAAAUAAAUAAAGUGUCUGGUCCUCAAGCUGAUGGCAAAAAAAUGAGGACCAUUUCAUUUUCCAGCCUGAAAAUUUUAGGGGAUAUCAAAUGUCAUUUCUCUUUCAGUUAAUAGUUAAUUCAAGAAAAAUCCAGUUUCUUCUUUGCCUGAAUUAUGUAGGGGUUGGGAGAUUCAUAGGAAUAAUCUAUACAAUCCUUUGAAGAAAUUAAGUAAAGUCUCACUGAAAGACUCAAGUGUCUCCUUGAGAUCUCCAAGAUUCUAAAAAUCCUAGUUCCUAAAUUUAUUUGUAAAGUAAAAAAAAAAUCCGUAACAUAAGCUCUACAUUUUGUGAUAUUUCAUUAAGAACAUUUGCUAGAAAUUUGUCUAGAUAUCCCAAGCAAAAGUGUUACUGAUAGUCAUUAAUUAUAAACAAAACAAAAUUGCUUAUUUUAAAAAAUGAUUCGUUUAGGGAAAGCUCUUAACCUCAGCACUAGUAACACUGGAGGCUGGGUCAUUCUUUGUUCUGGGGGCCUGUCUGUCCUGUGCACUGCAGGACAUUUAGCAUCCUCUUCAGCCUCUGCUCACUGAGUGACAGUAUCACCCUGUUCCCUUCCCCCCAGUUGUGAGAACCAAAGACGUCUCCAGACAUGGCCAGAUGUCUCCUGGGGCAGCAUCACCUUGGUGAUCACCAGGGCUGUAGAGAAUGGCCGUGCCUGUGAUGGAAAUAUGUGAAGAAUCAAAGUGCCGAUCGGAGGUGUGGCACACAAGCACCCAAACUCAAGCACUAACGGGAUCUUGUAUCUUGCAGGAAGGGAAGAAAAUGAGAAGAAAAGCAUGUAAGGUAGUGAAAACCUACUAUUCGUGAACUUGUUUAGUGUGGCCGAUCCAUAUGCUGUUCAGACACAUUUAAUUGUUAACAGUUCUCACCAAGUAGAUGUGAGUAUAGGCAAAGAAACAGCUCUACUGCAUUCCAAAGAGAAUCAAACAGGCAGCCACUGUUUUCAGUGAGUCAUUGAAAACACACAUACACACACACACACACACAGCACACUUUAAGUGCUUUUCCAGCUAUUGUGAUUGCAUCAAAACUAGCCUCUGCUAGUAGUGUUUAGCUGUGGGGAUAGCAAGAAAAAUGCUGCAGAGGAGCAUUUUUCUAAACCUUUAGCUAAGACUUGAAAAUCUAACUUAUCCUCAGUAGUGACAUUUAUAGUGAUUAGCCUGGGUGAAACACCAAACAUGACUUGAGUGGCUCGGUACAUUGCACGAGCGUGUAGCACUGUACUCUCCUGCCACUCGUGGCCUGUGUAAGUCCCUGUGACCUCUUCAUCAGCCUUUCUCUAGGCAGUCAUCAGAAUGCUGCCUUCUCCCAUCAGUUCUUGAUGAUGCAUUUGCUGAAUUAGACUGUCCUAAACUAGUACAAUGGUGAAAAUACCAUGGUUUACUCAUAAAUAAGAAAUUUUAUCUGUGUCAAUGAGCCUCAUGAGAAUGCUUUUCAAGAAGCAUAUUUUAGAUGCAAACAUGCUUCCUAGACCAGAAGUUAGCUUUUUUCCUUUUGGAAUCCAAGAGUCACUCUCUAAGUUAGCUUCAAACUGGAGUUUCAUAAUUUAGCCCCUUAAGAUUCUCUGGACUGUUUAUUAAAAUGUCAUUCAGAAAGUGAGCCUAAAGUUUGAAGUCUGGAACGUUGAUUUAAUUUCUAGACAUCCCAAAGCUUUUUUUUUUUUUUUUAGAAAACAAAACACAGACCAUUUGCAAUCCUCUUAGAACUUCAUCAAGCAAAGGUCCCCUGCACGUGCAGGUGUGUCUGACCUUCUUCCUUUGUGUGUGCUGGUGCUUUAGACGUAUCUUGUGCUGCCUGGACUGGUCCUCUGCAGUAUUCUAUCCU
rnacentral:lncRNA from 1 species